CCUACGGGCGGCAGCAGUGAGGAAUAUUGGUCAAUGGGCGGAAGCCUGAACCAGCCAAGUAGCGUGCAGGAUGACGUCCCUACGGGUUGUAAACUGCAUCUAUACGGGAAUAACGCGCCUUACGUGUAGGGCUUUGCAUGUACCGUAUGAAUAAGGACCGGCUAAUUCCGUGCCAGCAGCCGCGGUAAUACGGAAGGUCCGGGCGUUAUCCGGAUUUAUUGGGUUUAAAGGGAGCGUAGGCCGCAUGUCAAGCGUGCUGUGAAAUGUCCGGGCUCAACCCGGGCCUUGCAGCGCGAACUGGCGGGCUUGAGUCCGCGGAAAGCAGGCGGAAAUCGUCGUGUAGCGGUGAAAUGCUUAGAUAUGACGAAGAACCCCGGUGGCGAAGGCAGCCUGCUGCAGUGGAACUGACGCUGAAGCUCGAAAGCGCGGGUAUCGAACAGGAUUAGAUACCCUUGUAGUC
rnacentral:rRNA from 1 species